GAGAACUCCCUGCCUGCAGGCCGAAGAAUCUUUUUCUUACCUUGAGCACUGAGGGAUGAGCAGCAACUUGCCCCUCCCGACGUUCCCGGGGGUUGCCAGGCGGCAGCGUAACUUUCCACGAAAAGGCGGCUCUCGGAUCGCUCCCGGAGCGUGUGAAAACUGUGGCCCCCGGAGCUGGCUGGAGGACCACGGGGCAGCUGGCUGGAAGUAAACCACACGAUCCUCCGAUUGCCUGGGGGAAGACGGGAGCCAACAGGGAUUAUAAACUAAGUUUCUUUUCAAGGUGUGUUUGCUGUGUUGUGUAGAUUUCAGCUACUACAGUAGGUGAAAGUAGACCGAAGUGAACUGGUGUUUGGAAACAACUCUCUCUCUGGCAUCACUGGGAUGUUCUGAUCGUCGCCUGUUUCAGUCGGCCAGCCUUCCUCACCGCACUCACCGGCCCCAUCGCGGAUGUCCCAGUCGAUCACAGACGCGGACCGCGCGGAGGCCGCACACUUGUGGCGCGGUGUGGUGGUCCCUCCGGCACCACUCCCAUACUUGCAUUUUUCUUUGCAUUUUUGUUUGCUAACAUUUAAAGUGUGGAAUUUCGCAUAAACGUCUGUAUUUCCUCUGCUUGAAAAAGGGUAGGUGACACAAUCCCCAUUAUCAAAAGGCAAUGUUCCGCUGGAGAGGCGCCCCCUUUAGACCAACAAAGCACUUUACCAGUUCACUAAUUUGAAUUACCUGCUUGGCACGGGUAGGCAUUUGAGUUAUAGUCUCUCUUGUAUAGUAUCUCAGAACUGGAAAGGACAAAACAAUCAACUAAUCUAAUCCUUUCAUUUUCUCGGUAAGUUAAACCGAGGCUCCUUGAGGCAAAGUGAUUAAAGAAGGGAUGCUGUGCAUGAAUUAAUUUUACGUAUCCAAUAAUCAUCUGUAAUUUUUUUUGCUCUUUCGAAUUUUAUUUUACCUAGACAUUGUUAAACUUUUAUUAUAAAUAUUUUAAAUGUAUAUGGGAAUAGAAAGCAGAGUAUAAAUAACUGCUAUAUAUGCAUCACCUUGAUUUAGCAUUCAUAUUUUGCCAUGUUAGCAUCAUCUGUAUCUUUUGCUCAAGUGAAAAAAUAAUCAUAGACAUCAUGACAUUACAGCCCUAAAUACAUGAGCAUGUAUUGGUAGAAGAGUGGUUAAUGUUAUCUAACAUAAGCACAAUAUCAUUAUCACACCUAUAAAAAUCAACUAUUCUUCAAUAUCAUCUAAUAACCAUUUCAGAUUCAUAUUUCGACUGUCCUAAAAAUGUCUUUUUACAGUCGAUUUGUUUGUCACUAUAGUUCUGAAAUCCUCCUGUAGGAGCUUUGUCUCUUUGUGCCUACAUUGUUUUCCAUAAACUUAAUCUUGUGGACUUAGUGCCUUUAAAGACUAGAAUUAGCAAAGCAUUUUAUUCCCCCUUUCUACAAUGAUUAAAGGCUGGGGAGAAAGGCUCAACUUGUAGAAGAAAUUUGACCUGCAUGUAAUAGUGGAAUUUUAGAUAUAAUGACAUUUAAUCCUUUAUAAAUGAUCAUUACUUAUUUUAUAAUAGUUUAGUCAUUCCAACUAAUGAAAAUGUUAGUAUUCAGCUUAUGUUAAGAUGGUACAUAGUUAUUUAUACUUGGGAUAUGUUGUGGCAAUGCUGCUUUCUAAAAUUAUUGGUGUUGGGUCAAAGGUGGGGAG
rnacentral:lncRNA from 1 species